UGUGUGCCUGAACACUAAGGAGGCGAUUGACAAAGAUAAGUGGUAUCUUGACAGUGGAUGCUCUAACCACCUUACCCAUGACAAGAGUAAGUUGUUGUCUUAUAAACCUGAAAGAGGCAGCAUGAAAAUAUCGGUAGCAAACGGUGAGAAAUUACAAGUAAAAGGACGGGGGAACGCUGAGCCCCAAGUCAGCGAGAACGAAAAAUUAAAUUUAGAAAACGUUAUGCAUGUUCCCGAUUUGUCCAUGAAUUUAAUUUCGGUAAGCGACUUAACCAAGAAGAAAUGUAAAGUUAUAUUCGACGAAAAAGGUUGCGUAAUUCAAAAGAAGAACCGAACUAUUGCAAGUUGUAAAGAGGUCGAUGGCAUUUACGAGUUGACAGAAAAGAAAAACAACGUCGUGUAUUUGACACUGUCAAAACAAAAUGAAAACAUUUCUAACGUUUGGCAUAAGCGCUUGGCCCAUUUAUCCCGAAAUUAUAUGUUGAAAAUGAAAAACAUCGUGACCGGUAUGCAAUUUAAGAGCACAGAUUUGUGCGAACCAUGUAUUCCCUGCAUUGAAGGAAAGACGUGCAAGAGUCCCUUUAAAAACAAAGGUACGAGAGCCACGGAUGUUCUGCAAAUCGUUCAUACUGAUUUAUGCGGACCCAUGGAAGAGCCGUCGUUCGGAGGUUCGAGUCUGCAGGAAUAAAACACCAGACGACUGUACCCUACACGCCUGA